rnacentral:rRNA from 1 species
GACGAACGCUGGCGGCGUGCUUAACACAUGCAAGUCGAACGGAAAGGCCCGGCUCUUGUGGGUUUCUCGAUUGGCGAACGCGUGAGUAACACGUGAGUAACCUGCCCUUGACUUUGUGAUAACUUUAGGAAACUGGGGCUAAUACCGGAUAUGAGCUCCUGCUGCAUGGUGGGGGUUGGAAAGUGUCGGCUGUUGUGGAUGGACUCGCGGCUUAUCAGCUAGUUGGUGAGGUAGGUGCUUACCAAGGCUUUGACGGGUAGCCUGCCUGAGAGGGUGACCGGGCACAAUGGGACUGCGAUACGGACCAGACUCCUACGGGCCGCAGCAGUGGGGAGCCUUGCACAGUGGGCGGAAGCGUGAUGCAGAAACGUUGCGUGCGGGAUACCGGCCUUCGAGUUGUAAACCGCUUUCGAAUGUGACGAAGAGUGAGUGACGGUAAUGGGUAAAGAAGCACCGGCUAACUACGUG